rnacentral:rRNA from 1 species
UUUUGAGCAUUUCUCGGUCGCUGUCCUCUCAGGGAGCAGGGAAAGCGCAGCGAGGGCGCCGCCGGCUCCCCCUUUUGGGUCGCGGCGGCCGGGGCGCGGGGAGGGGGGAAGAGAAGAGGAGCGGCGACGGCCCCGUGCGGCUGGCCCGAAAACGGGCCAGCCGCAGCCGCCGCCGCCCUGGGAGAGAGGGGAGACGACCACCCGAGCAGCGUCCGCCAGAGGAGCCGCCCACCCCCGCGCAAAACCGCACCAGAGCCCGCCGCUGCCGACCGAGGACACGCGCUGGGUACCCCUAGUGCCCCUACCGACGAGCGCCCGCACGGGCACCACGGGCGCCGGGAGCUAGACCGCGUCGGUCUAGACCAGCAGCCGCAGAGCCCACCGGGCACCGACGGGAGCCGCCGCCACCGACCGAACCCGACCACCACGAGGCCGACCAGGAGUGCUACCCCCGUCGAGACCACCACCGCGACCAACAGCCACACCAGCGCCGCGCCGCUAACCUGAGCUGCCGCCCCACGCCCCCCACCUCCACCGAGACCAACCACCACCGUCGCCCCGGCCGAGCAGAGAACGACCUAGGCUGGCCUAGACCGCAACCCCCAGCCGGGCACCGUAGUCACCACGCACGGGCCACCGAGGCUGCGAACCUCGAGCGGCCCGCUGCGCCCAUCCCGUCGCCGGCCCGCACCGGCGACGAGGCCGGCACCCGCCGCCGCAUCCCUCCAGGCCGCCACCACCGGAAGGCCACCGCACGGCCGAAGUGCCACCGAGCUGCCAAGACGGGCGCCGUCGCCGGCCGAAGAGGCCGCAGCUGAGCAGACGCAAGUCUGGCAGAGCUGGAAGCCGGGUAGAGGAGCCGCGGGCUCGCACUGAGGGUAGUUUCCCGACCAGGAGAGGGUCGACGCCAGGUGGCGAGCAGAGCGCGGGCCACGACGUCCUGGCUCGAGCAGAGUGCGUUCCUGGCUCGAGCAGAGCGCGAGCCCCGUCGUCCUGCCUAGCCGCCUACGGUCAAAACCGGCCGGAUAACCCAGAGCUGCGACCCCCAGCGAGUCCCCACGCUUUACACCCUGGAAAGACGAGCGGAGAAAGCGACCCCAACGCCGCCCAGAGCCCACUCCACCACAGUUCCAGCACCUACGGCCCCGCCGCCGGGACCACCACGUCGCGCCACGAGAACCCGCCUCGGGCACGGAACCACGACGGGUCAGUGGUACCGGCACACCCGCCGCACCACCAGCCCGACACCGCCAGCCACCGCCACCCACAACCGGCUCCACUUUUGGACAAGAUAGAAGCCUGCCUGGCCGUCGCCGCUUCCAGCAAGGGAAGAACUUCCGCAACAGCGCCAAGAGUGACGGGUCGUACGCCGAGGUCCCCUUUGAGACUAGGAGCCUAGCCUGCCACCGCCGCGAGGCCACAGCACAGGAAGGACUUCCGUGGCGGAACUUCGAGUACCAGGCAGUAUACAUCGAAGUAGAGGAGCAGCACCAUCACGAUCCCCACCACAACGACGUGAGUCGCGGAUACAUAGGACGAGACCCACACACGCACACAACGCCACCGCACACAGAUAUGAUCUACGAACUACUAGCCACGAAAUAUAUAUUUUGCCCCGCUUUCGGAAAAAG